UUUUACGUGAACCCCCCUUAGACCUUAUGCCCUUAUCUUCUUACUCCCCUUAUUAUUGCACACAAAAAUUCACACUUCCCUCGCAACAACAAAAUGAGUAUUCAAGAACGACCCAACAAAUUCCAGCACCGUACCAGCCACCGGAUCUCACCAGGUCACACCAGCUUGUCAGCCAACCUUGCCGUGAGUGGCUCCUUAUUUGACCAAUACAUAGUUGUUGGUCUUCUUCUCCAUUAAUAAGGUAAGCAUUUCUUCGUUGAAAAUUUUUUGCAGUCAAUGAUAAAGUUGGUGAUAGCUACAAGCAUUUUGGACGUGCGAUGUUUUGGGCUAUGAACAUUAUGAGUAGCUAAUUAUGUGCACUUGUAAAUUUUUGCAUGAAAAACAUGUGUGCGUUAGGAGAAUUAUUUUGGAAAUUGCCUAGCGCACUCUUGAAGGCCAUAGCACAAAACAAUAAAUGAUCCGACAGUUUAAUAAGAUGGUCAAACCAAGACAAUUUCAAGUCGAAGACUAUGUUUUCACAAAACUUAAAGUUACAGGAAAAAUUGUUGAAAAGGCAAACAUGGAAAAGCUUGGGAUGGACCUGUUAAGGUCGUCAAGGUGGUUCAGCCAGGUACUUACGAAUUAGAAGAAAAUGGAAAAGCUUUGCCAAGGCCCUGGAACAUUGAACAUCUAAAAACCUUUUACUCAGUUCUUGAAGAACCCCAAAUUCAAAGUAAAGGGGGCACUAGUGAUUAUCGGCUAAUUUGGCUAUUUCAAAUAAAUUUUCAAUUUUCCGUAGAAUUCCCCAAGCGUUGGUUUAUUCUUCAAGAUACUUCAUGUAGUUUCAGGUUUACUUUGACUCUGUGUUUGGGCAAUCAAGUCGGAUCCUUACAA